AGGGCAGGCAUGGCCAAACUUGGCCCUCCAGCUGUUUUGGGACUACAAUUCCCAUCAUCCCUGACCACUGGUCCUGUUAGCUAGGGAUGAUGGGAGUUGUAGUCCCAAAACAGCUGGAGGGCCAAGUUUGGCCAUGCCUGCCUU